UGGAAGGUGGCUCAGUGGUAGAGUGCUUGCCUCAGGUGCAUGAGGCCUUGGGUUCGAUUCCUCAGCCCCAC
rfam:Dipodomys ordii contig_51107, whole genome shotgun sequence.